AUGGACUCUAUUCCCACUGUGUUAGUUUUCAAGGAGGCUGAUAGAUUCUCUCUGAGGUGCAGACAUUCCCCACAGCUAACUAGGGCUGGAAGGCAGGGGUGCAUUUCAGCUUUAGCCACAGUCUGCCCUGCCUGGUUGGUUUUCUGUGGGCCAUUUUUGGCUCUACUCCAUUUUUCUCAGCCUAUCUCCUUAGCUGUCCCAGUGGGGUCAGAUACAUUUCCUUGGCUUCUGUGGAGACAUCACAACUCCAGAUCAUUCUGCUCAUGCAAAUCAAGGUCAGAGAUGGGAGACAGGAGUAGCUCCCUGGCAUCCUGUGCUGGCUGGACAUCCCAUCAGGACCUGCUGCUCAUGAGUGCCCAGCUCCUGUGCCUCCGUUUCUCUGCUGGAAUCAGAAGAAGCUCCUCCCUGAGAGCAGUGACGACUUCUGACCUGCACACUGGACGGCUGGAGGAUGACACCAAGCCACCGCCAACAUCCCGACCAGUUUCACACGGCCUUUCAUGCUCUGCCUCUGGGGCCAGGAUGGCUGCAGAAAGCGCCUUUGCAGCAGGGGCCUGUGGCUCUCUGGAGCCCUUGCUGCCUGCUGGGCUUCCGCUGGCCCCCUCCAACCUGCUUGGCCAGGCCUGAGAGCACCAGUCCAGUGCCCAGCUCCCUUUCUUGGCUCUUGGGCUCCUUGUGAGUGAUGUCUGCAUCUGGCUGGAAAUUAAAACAACUGUCUGCAUUGCAUUCGGCCCGUCUGUCAAAACACAGCCCGGCUCUCAGCAGCUGGGGCCGGGGGCCCUGAAUGGGUGCAGUGUCUCCAGCAACAAAGCCCACUUUCACGCCAAGUGCCACGGAGAUAGUGAAACCCUGUUCUUCUCCAAACAUGAAACCAACGGCACAACUAUUUUUCCUGUUUCCUGGGCCCUCCUGGUGGGAUUUUUUUUUUUUAAUGUACUGAGUUAAAGAGUAAAGUGAAACAGGAAACUUAUGGGGGGGGGUUCCUACCACUAGAAUUCUUUGCCUCUGAGGUCUAAUAGCCAUGCAGAUACCGGAGGAGAGAAAUGCCACGGCGACUGCGAGGAGGUCCUCGAAGUCAGAGGUCCCCGGGGACUCCCGCUGUCCCCGUAUUCGGGCUUUCUAUGUUCAUUCACCACCCAGCACUCACUGAUCACAUCCUCCAUGCAGGCCACUUCAGGAGCAAAGCAAAAGGACAGCAUCAAAGCACAGCCGUCACCCUCAAGUUGUAAACAGACAGCCAUAAAAAUGAGAGAGGGACAGUGUUCUAUUAGAGGUCCCGAGACAGGGCCGAGAGAAACCAAACGCUUGUGUGUCUGCCCCGUCCGGCGUGAUGGCCACCUGUGCCCCAGCUCACGCACACCUGAGAGCGGCCAACUGAGCUGAGGUAGCCGCAUGAGCCCAACACACAAGGGAUUCGGAAGAGUUUGGAACAUAAAUAAAAUACCACGUUAAGAAUUUGUCGUUAGCAUGUUCCAAAGCCACCCUUUUGUACAGAUUGGGUUAAAUAAAAUCUGUUUUCUCACUUUUGGGGACACCGCUGUUAGCAAAGUGGAAAGCACUCGUGGGCCCAGGUCUGCCGCCGGUGCUGUGCGUGUGGGACGCGGCUGCCCAGGAGGAAGAGCAGGGAGUUUCUGUGACAGAUGCGGUGUAGGUCAGGUUCUGAGGUGACUGCUACACCAAUUCCACGGGGAAAGGGCGGGGAGGACACAGCACCUUGCCACCCCGAGAC
rnacentral:lncRNA from 1 species